rnacentral:rRNA from 1 species
GAUGAACGCUGGCGGCGUGCCUAAUACAUGCAAGUCGAGCGAACAGAUGAGGAGCUUGCUCCUCUGACGUUAGUGGCGGACGGGUGAGUAACACGUGGAUAACCUACCUAUAAGACUGGGAUAACUUCGGGAAACCGGAGCUAAUACCGGAUAAUAUAUUGAACCGCAUGGCUCAAUAGUGAAAGACGGUUUUGCUGUCCUUCAUAGAUGGAUCCCCGCCGCAUUAGCUAGUUGGUAAGGUAACGGCUUACCAAGGCAACGAUGCGUAGCCGACCUGAGAGGGUGAUCGGCCACACUGGAACUGAGACACGGUCCAGACUCCUACGGGAGGCAGCAGUAGGGAAUCUUCCGCAAUGGGCGAAAGCCUGACGGAGCAACGCCGCGUGAGUGAUGAAGGUCUUCGGAUCGUAAAACUCUGUUAUUAGGGAAGAACAAAUGUGUAAGUAACUAUGCACGUCUUGACGGUACCUAAUCAGAAAGCCACGGCUAACUACGUG